AUUGAACGCUGGCGGCAGGCCUAACACAUGCAAGUCGAGCGGUAGAGAGGUGCUUGCAUCUCUUGAGAGCGACGGACGGGUGAGUAAUGCCUAGGAAUCUGCCUGGUGGUGGGGGAUAACGUUCGGAAACGGACGCUAAUACCGCAUACGUCCUACGGGAGAAAGCGGGGGAUCUUCGGACCUCGCGCCAUUAGAUGAGCCUAGGUCGGAUUAGCUAGUUGGUGAGGUAAUGGCUCACCAAGGCGACGAUCCGUAACUGGUCUGAGAGGAUGAUCAGUCACACUGGAACUGAGACACGGUCCAGACUCCUACGGGAGGCAGCAGUGGGGGAAUAUUGGACAAUGGGCGAAAGACCUGAUCCAGCCAUGCCGCCGUGUGUGAAGAAGGU
rnacentral:rRNA from 1 species